GACGUAGGGCGCGAGCGUUGUCCGGAAUUAUUGGGCGUAAAGAGCUCGUAGGCGGUUUGUUGCGUCGGCUGUGAAAUCCCGAGGCUCAACCUCGGGUCUGCAGUCGAUACGAGCAAACUAGAGUGUUGCAGGGGAGACUGGAAUUCCUGGUGUAGCGGUGAAAUGCGCAGAUAUCGGGAGGAACACCGGUGGCGAAGGCGGCAUCCUGGACCGGCAUUGACGCUGAGGCGCGAAAGCCAGGGGAGCAAACGGG
rnacentral:rRNA from 1 species